GCAGCUUGGAAAGAAUUUUGGUCAAGGAUGGACUCACGGCCUAUCAGGUAGUUGGUGAGGUAAUGGCUCACCAAGCCGACGACGGGUAGCCGGCCUGAGAGGGUGACCGGCCACACUGGGACUGAGACACGGCCCAGACUCCUACGGGAGGCAGCAGUGGGGAAUAUUGCACAAUGGGCGAAAGCCUGAUGCAGCAACGCCGCGUGAGGGACGACGGCCUUCGGGUUGUAAACCUCUUUUAGUAGGGAAGAAGCGAAAGUGACGGUACCUGCAGAAAAAGCACCGGCUAACUACGUGCCACCAGCCGCGGUAAUACGUAGGGUGCAAGCGUUGUCCGGAAUUAUUGGGCGUAAAGAGCUCGUAGGCGGUUUGUCGCGUCUGCUGUGAAAUCUGGGGGCUCAACCCCCAGCCUGCAGUGGGUACGGGC
rnacentral:rRNA from 1 species